rnacentral:rRNA from 1 species
AGUGAACGCUGGCGGCGUGCUUAACACAUGCAAGUCGAACGAGAACGGGUUAUAGCUGGCUAUAAUUGUCAGCUAAGUGGCGCACGGGUGAGUAAUGUAUAGGUAAUAUGCCUUUUACUAAGGGAUAACAAAUGGAAACGUUUGCUAAUACCUUAUACUCCUUAUUACCAGAAGUUAAUAAGGUAAAGAUUUAUUGGUAAGAGAUUAGCCUGUAUUGUAUCAGUUAGUUGGUGGGGUAAUGGCCUACCAAGACUAUGACACAUGACUGGGUUGAGAGGAUGAUCAGUCACACUGGAACUGAGACACGGUCCAGACUCCUACGGGAGGCAGCAGUGGGGAAUAUUGCACAAUGAACGAAAGUCUGAUGCAGCAACGCCGCGUGGAGGAUGACACAUUUCGGUGCGUAAACUCCUUUUAUAUGAGAAGAUAAUGACGGUAUUAUAUGAAUAAGCACCGGCUAACUCCGUGCCAGCAGCCGCGGUAACAC